CACCUAGUGUGGCCUCAGCUCCCAGCAUCUGACUCCAGUCAGGAUGCACCAGAGAAAGCUCUCAGAAAUUCCUCCUGCUCCAAUCUAGUCAUCAACACAGCUGCACCAAAUCUGCUCUCCCUGGCCCCAAAACUCCAGAUGACUUUUCCCUGUCCCUCUCCAAUUCUCUUUUGGAGCUGUAUUUGGGAAACCAGUUGUGUGUCUCUUCACAUCACCCAUAUCCCAUUGGUAAAAUGAAGUCAAGGAUCUGAAUGAAGUAACAGAAGGGUGUCUUACCUGGGAGUAUUUAUAUGUAAGGAUUUUUGUUCCCUCAUGAUUAUCCCCAGCUUUAGAAUGGUGAUAUGUUAUAUUAUAAAUUUUCGCUGUCUCACGUAAGUUGUAUCAUACUAGGAUUAGGUUUAGAAAUCAGACAUCUCAAAUCAACAAAUACUCUCUCAAACAUCUGCUUUUUUUUCUGUGGACACUGUGACAGUGACAAAGAUCAGGGAAAUCCAUGUCAUCUUAUAAGGGCUUCCAUCCCUGGGGGGGUCACCAAAGCUGACAUUCUUUAUCUCAUCAUGUUAGUGCCUCCACAAUGAUUUGCUUGUAGAAAGUUGCCUGUCCAGCUACUAUAUGUGAUUCCUCCGAUCACAGUAUAGUGAGUAUUCUAAUUCAAUGGCUUUGGAACAGAAAGAAUCAGUGUUUGAAUCUUAGUUCCAUCCUUUAAAAGCUGUGUGACCUUGAACAAGUCACUUGUCCUCUCUGGGCUACCAUUUCUAUAAAAUGGAGAUUCCAAACACACACACCUCUCAUUGGAAUUAUAUGAUAUAAUAUCACUUAAAGUGACAUAAGGCACUUGAAUACAUGGCCUGGUACAAAAUAAACACACAAUAAAUGACAAAUAUGAUGCUCACAGAGCCCUCUAAGGUUCCACACAGAUCUAUAGGGUGCCACAGAAACUGGGAGUAAACUUGGUGGUGUGAAAACGGCAGCUGCUGUAAGUUGCACAGUGUCAUCCCCAGUGAUGUGGAAGAUGAUCACCCAGGGAACAACCAGAUAGUUGACUCAUUUUGCCAGCGUUCCACCUCAGCUGGCUGUUCAAGAUACUGGAAAACCGCUUUUGUUCCAGAGGAGACUACAGCCUUGAUCUUCCCCUGGAGUCACUGUGGCAGGUGGCGUUUGUCUUGUCUUCCAGAAACUGUUGUUCUCUUCAAGGAUCAUUGCUUGUCUAAGCCACGUAUUAAUUUCUUAAUAUUCUGGCAUGGUCUCCUUCUGAUUAUUAUAGGCUCUCAUGUAAGCAGACCACUGCAAGCCCGUUAAAUACUGUAUUUGCUUAACUGCCAAAUAGUCACUGUGUAAACAUGCUGUGAAAAGGGAUAUUUUCAAUGAGUUGUAUUAGAGGUCAGUGCAUAGAGAGUCUCAUUAGUUCAUGAGGAACCCAUAACUCUCUCACUCCUGCUCCUCACAUUUCAGGGAGGUUGGAGAGAUGUCACAACAAAUACACUCCAUGCGAUCCUUUUUCUCAAACCACACAACCCUUAGGUCUUCCAGAAACUAAGCUUUUGCCUUCAUUAUCUGAAUAACUCAGAAAUUAGCAUUCACUUUUCUCCAAAAGACAACAAUGAUUUCCAUUGUAGCUAGUACUGUAAAAUAUUCCCCGAAACCAAGCUGCCCCAUUUUUAUCUCAGCAGCAAUCAGAUGGCAUGGAAGGAAAAGGAAGGGGUGAGGGGGAUUAAUUUCAGUAUCUCACAGCCACUUGUAUUGAUUUUUCCCAAGUUUAUACAAAAGCAAAGAUUUCCCAGCUGAGCUGAGAUCAAAAGUGGCACAUUUAGCAGGAUCUUGAGCAUCCAGAAGGCCAUCUUGUUUAAAUAGCUUUAAGAAUCAACAGUAUGAUUCCUUAAACCUGUGUCUACAAGAGGUCCAAAAGGUUAUUGAAGAAGGUGGCCUGUAAGGGAAGCUGUCUCCUAAAAGGCAAAGCUAGUAAGCCCUGCAAAACCUUUCAGGGAAUCAGCGUAUGAUUGCUACAACUAACCAGUCAGAACCUCCCUGUCUCUCUCCUCACUUCACUAUAUGCUUUCCAAACAUCAAGAAGAAAAUGAGAGACUUAUGCAACAGGCAGCAAUGUGAAUGUGGCAUUAUGAGAAAAUCCCCACAACAUAACUCCAUGGAAAACAGCUCCAUUGUGAGGGUUUGGAUUAACAAUGAGGACAAUUUGAGAAUGCUGCCAAGAUCAUACUAAGGACAGUUGAAAUUAUUUUGUGUAUUUUUUACAUUUGUUUCCUAAUUGAGAGGUA
rnacentral:lncRNA from 10 species